AUUGAACGCUGGCGGAAUGCUUUACACAUGCAAGUCGAACGGUAGAGGGGGCAACCCCUCGAGAGUGGCGAACGGGUGAGUAAUAUAUCGGAACGUGCCCAGUCGUGGGGGAUAACGUAGCGAAAGUUACGCUAAUACCGCAUACGAUCUAAGGAUGAAAGCGGGGGAUCGCAAGACCUCGCGCGAUUGGAGCGGCCGAUAUCAGAUUAGGUAGUUGGUGGGGUAAAGGCUCACCAAGCCAACGAUCUGUAGCUGGUCUGAGAGGACGACCAGCCACACGGGAACUGAAACACGGUCCAGACUCCUACGGGAGGCAGCAGUGGGGAAUUUUGGACAAUGGACGGAAGUCUGAUCCAGCCAUUCCGCGUGCAGGAUGAAGGCCCUCGGGUUGUAAACUGCUUUUGUACGGAACGAAAAGGUCUCUCUUAAUACGGGGGACUCAUGACGGUACCGUAAGAAUAAGCACCGGCUAACUACGUGCCAGCCGCCGCCGUAA
rnacentral:rRNA from 1 species